rnacentral:rRNA from 1 species
UCAGGCCUAACACAUGCAAGUCGAGCGGGGUCUUCGGACCUAGCGGCGGACGGGUGAGUAAUGCGUAGGAAGCUACCCGAUAGAGGGGGAUACCAGUUGGAAACGACUGUUAAUACCGCAUAAUGUCUACGGACCAAAGUGUGGGACCUUCGGGCCACAUGCUAUCGGAUGCGCCUACGUGGGAUUAGCUAGUUGGUGAGGUAAUGGCUCACCAAGGCGACGAUCCCUAGCUGGUUUGAGAGGAUGAUCAGCCACACUGGAACUGAGACACGGUCCAGACUCCUACGGGAGGCAGCAGUGGGGAAUAUUGGGCAAUGGGCGCAAGCCUGAUCCAAAAAGGCCGCGUGUGUGAAGAAGGCCUUCGGGUGUAAAUCAAGAGCAGUAGGGAGGAAGCGUUGAGUGUUAAUA